rnacentral:rRNA from 1 species
UAUAAAUUUAAUUAAAAUUAAUUAAAAUAUAAAAGUAAUAUUUUUUUUUAUUAAUAAAAAUUUAAUAAUUUAUUUUAUUUAUAAAGUAAUUUUUAUUUAUUUAAAAAUUUAUUAAAUUAGUAAUUUAAAUUUUAAAAAUUAUAAAAUAAUGAUUAUAUUAGUAAAUUUUUUUUAUAAAAAUAUAAUUUCUUAAAUAUUAAGAUUUUAUUAAAGAAUUAGGCAAAAUUUUAUAUUCACCUGUUUAUCAAAAACAUCUCUUAUUGUUAUAUAUUUUAAGUCAAAUCUGCUCCAUGAUAUUUAAUUAAAUAGCUGCAGUAUUAAUGACUGUACAAAGGUAGCAUAAUAAUUAGUUUUUUAAUUAAAAACUAGAAUGAAUGAUUUAAUGAAAUAUAAACUUUUUUAAUAAAAUUAAUAAUUAAAUUUAUUUUUAAGUUAAAAAACUUAAGUAAUUUUAAAAGACGAGAAGACCCUAUAGAAUUUUAUAUUAAUUUUAAUUAAAAAUAAUUUAUUUUUAAUAUUUUAAAUUUAAAUUAAUAUUUAAUUGGGGUAAUUUUAAAGUUAAAUAAAUCUUUAAUUUAUUUUAUACAUUAAUUUAUGAAUUAAAUAAACUUAAAAUUUGAAUAUAAAUUUAAUUACCUUAGGGAUAACAGCAUAAUUUUUUUUUUAAGAUCUAAUUUAAAAAGAAGUUUAUGACCUCGAUGUUGAAUUAAGAUUAAAUAAAAAUGAAAAAAUUUUUAAUUUUAAGUCUGUUCGACUUUUAAUUUCUUACAUGAUUUGAGUUAAGAUCGGCGUAAGCCAGAUCGGAUUCUAUCUUUAAAAUAAUUUUAUAUUUUUGUACGAAAGGAAUUUAUAUUUAAAAUAAUUUUUAUUUAAAAAUUAAUAUAAUUUAAUUAAA